UCACUUUAGUAUUUGUCAUGUGUC
rnacentral:siRNA from 1 species